UUGUGUCCCUGUAAAAUUCACGUGUUGAAGGCCCAAGCCUCAGUGUGACCGUAUUUGGAGAUGGGCCCUUUAAGGAGGUGGUCAAGGUUAACUGAGGUCAUAAGGGUGGGGCCCUGAUCCAGUAGGACUGGCAUCCUUAUGAGAAGAGGGAGAGAGAAGACCAUGUGAGGACACAGUGGGAAGGCCGCUGUCUGCAAGCCAGGCAGGGAGCUCUCCCCGGAAACGGAACCUGCUGGCACCGUGAUCUUGGCCUCCAGCCUCCAGCACCCCGAGAGAUGAGUGCUAUGAGACGGAGACUGAGGCUCUGGGAGGUGAGGCGACCUGUGCAAGAUCACACAACUCGUCAACACAUCAAAAGGCCACUUCAGUCAACACAGUCAGGAUUCUGACGACCUCCGGCUUUACGUGAUUCAUAUGGAUGGGAUUUUUUUUUUAAUAUGUCGAAGAUUUCUACCAAGUUUGGGCUAAUUCUUCUCCACUUCACUUCGUAACAACAUUCAAGCUACGCUGCACUUGUCUCUGUCCAGCUCCCUACUGCUUCAGCCAGAGGAAACUGAGUCCGAGAGAGACGAUGGAGGGGAGAGCCAGCGCAGCACAGGCUGGGCUGCCCACCCCCUAGAAGGCUAAUCGAGAUGGUAUUUUCUGCUGGAAGCAAGUAAGCAAGUUUCCCACAAACCAAGCCAGCUUCUCCCAGAAGACAGGCGUUCUCGCCGGCUCUGUGCGCUGUCUCAAAGAUCUCGGUCUGCACAAUGGGCGACACUGAGGUGAAGAGACCUAUGCCUCUGAAGCUGGGGGCGUUGGCUUGUAAACCUCCUGGAUCCUGCCUCUGGGGAGAAAAGAGAAUCAACCCAGGAUAUCCUCUGCCCACCUGUGGGGCUCUGCCACCCCACAGGAGGGUUGUGGGUGGGGACCCUCUCAGACGGAGCCUGAUCGGGGCAAAAACUGGAAACAGCCAGAAGUCCUUCAAAGAGUGAACAGUAAACACGCCGGCCUGGGCCUGCCGUGGAACACGUGCCGCAACAAAGAACAAACUCUUGACCCGAGAGACAACCCGGGCUGCUUCAGAGAACGACGCUGAGUGCAAAAAGCCAAUCCCAAAAGCUGCCACACUGUUUGAGCUCACUUACAGGACUCUCCCAUGAUGACAGAAGUAUGGAGAUGGACAACAGACCAGUGGUUGCCAGAGGGUGGCGGGCACAGUGGGAGGGAGGUGGGUGUGGCCACAGGAGAACAGCUGGAGGGAUCCCUGACACGUGGGGACUGUCCAGGGUCUUGACUGUGGCGGUGGAUCCGCAAACCGACAUGGGUGAUAAAGUGCAGAGAACACCAGGGAAUGAGUACAAAUGACACCAGGGACAUCUGAGGGAGAUGGGUGGGUCUCCCUCCCAGGAUCUCUCUGGCUUAUUUCUUAGAACUGCAGGUGAAUCUACAACUAUCUCAAAAUAAAAGAUUUCAC
rnacentral:lncRNA from 1 species